ACGGGAUGCUUCGGCAUCUAGUGGCGGACGGGUGAGUAACGCGUGAGAAUUUGCCUUCAGGACGGGGACAACAGUUGGAAACGACUGCUAAUACCCGAUAUGCCUAUCAGUGAAAUGAUUUAUCGCCUGAAGAUAAGCUCGCGUCAGAUUAGCUAGUUGGUGGGGUAAAGGCUCACCAAGGCAACGAUCUGUAGCUGGUCUGAGAGGAUGACCAGCCACACUGGGACUGAGACACGGCCCAGACUCCUACGGGAGGCAGCAGUGGGGAAUUUUCCGCAAUGGGCGCAAGCCUGACGGAGCAAGACCGCGUGGGGGAGGAAGGUUUGUGGACUGUAAACCCCUUUUAUCAGAGAAGAACACAAUGACGGUAUCUGAUGAAUCAGCCUCGGCUAACUCCGUGCCAGCAGCCGCGGUAAUACGGAGGAGGCAAGCGUUAUCCGGAAUUAUUGGGCGUAAAGCGUCCGUAGGUGGCAGUUCAAGUCCAUUGUCAAAGCGUGGAGCUUAACUCCAUAAAGGCAGUGGAAACUGAAUCGCUGGAGUGCGACAGGGGCAAGGGGAAUUCCUAGUGUAGCGGUGAAAUGCGUAGAGAUUAGGAAGAACACCGGUGGCGAAAGCGCCUUGCUGGGUCUGCACUGACACUGAUGGACGAAAGCUAGGGGAGCGAAAGGGAUUAGAUACCCCUGUAGUCCUAGCUGUA
rnacentral:rRNA from 1 species